rnacentral:tRNA from 2 species
AGCGGCGUACGGCGUGAGUCAAACUCGCGGUCUUGAAAACCGUCGUGGCAGCGAUGUCACCGUGGGUUCAAAUCCCACCGCCUCCG